rnacentral:rRNA from 1 species
GACGAACGCUGGCGGCGUGCUUAACACAUGCAAGUCGAACGGAAAGGCCCUGCUUUUGUGGGGUGCUCGAGUGGCGAACGGGUGAGUAACACGUGAGUAACCUGCCCUUGACUUUGGGAUAACUUCAGGAAACUGGGGCUAAUACCGGAUAGGAGCUCCUGCUGCAUGGUGGGGGUUGGAAAGUUUCGGCGGUUGGGGAUGGACUCGCGGCUUAUCAGCUUGUUGGUGGGGUAGUGGCUUACCAAGGCUUUGACGGGUAGCCGGCCUGAGAGGGUGACCGGCCACAUUGGGACUGAGAUACGGCCCAGACUCCGACGGGGGGCAGCAGGGGGGAAUAUUGCACAAUGGGCGGAAGCCUGAUGCAGCAACGCCGCGUGCGGGAUGACGGCCUUCGGGUUGUAAACCGCUUUCGCCUGUGACGAAGCGUGAGUGACGGUAAUGGGUAAAGAAGCACCGGCUAACUACGUG